UGAAAUCUGGCGCAAGCCCGAGUUGUAAUUUGUAGAGGAUGUUUCUGGCGACGCGCCUUCCGAGUUCCCUGGAACGGGACGCCAUAGAGGGUGAGAGCCCCGUACGGUUGGAUGCCUAGCCUCUGUGAAACUCCUUCGACGAGUCGAGUAGUUUGGGAAUGCUGCUCUAAAUGGGAGGUAUACGUCUUCUAAAGCUAAAUAUUGGCCAGAGACCGAUAGCGCACAAGUAGAGUGAUCGAAAGAUGAAAAGCACUUUGAAAAGAGGGUUAAAAAGUACGUGAAAUUGUUGAAAGGGAAGCGUUCAUGACCAGACUUGGGCAGGUUGAUCAUCCGUGGUUCUCCGCGGUGCACUCUGCCUGCCCAGGCCAGCAUCAGUUCGCUCCGGGGGAUAAAGGCUCCGGGAAUGUGGCUCCUCCGGGAGUGUUAUAGCCCGCUGCGUAAUACCCUGGGGUGGACUGAGGUUCGCGCACUGCAAGGAU
rnacentral:rRNA from 1 species